ACGGAUGUUUGAGCAUGUGCUA
rnacentral:miRNA from 2 species